UACGGGGGAGCAAGCGUUGUUCGGAUUUACUGGGCGUAAAGGGCGCGCAGGCGGCUACGCACGUCCGUUGUGAAUCGCUCGGCUCAACUGGGCGGGGUCAGCGGAUACGGCGUAGCUGGAGCAAGCUAGGGGGCAAUGGGAAUUCCCGGUGUAGUGGUGGAAUGCGUAGAUAUCGGGAGGAACACCAGUGGCGGAAGGCGGCUCGACUGGCCCGGUAGUGACGCUGAGGCGCGAAAGCGUGGGAGCAACA
rnacentral:rRNA from 1 species